rnacentral:rRNA from 1 species
UACGUAGGGGGCAAGCGUUGUCCGGAUUUACUGGGCGUAAAGGGCACGCAGGCGGUUGUGUCAGUUUGCGGGGACAGUGGGUGGCUUAACUGCCCAAGGGUCGCAAAGACGGCACGACUGGAGAGCGAGAGAGGGACCUGGAACUCCGGGUGGAGCGGUGAAAUGCGUAGAGAUCCGGAAGAACACCACUGGCGCAGGCAAGGUCCUGGCUCGUAUCUGACGCUGAGGUGCGAAAGCUAGGGGAGCGAACGGG